UUGACAGCCCUGGAGACUGAGUUCCUCUGUUUAUCCAAAGAGCAGGGAAAAACAUGGGCAGUGACGAUACAAGUUUCUCCAUAUUUGUCUAAGGAUGUGCCUUAACCUUGGCCUAGAAGGGUCACAUGUAAGAGGGAAAGCAGUUCUGACACUUAGCACAUUAUUUCUUUGGAGGCC
rnacentral:sRNA from 1 species